rnacentral:rRNA from 1 species
GUACACACUGGGUAGGGGAGCGUUCUUAUCUGGACGAAGGCAGACCGGAAGGACUGCUGGACGGGUAAGAAGUGAGAAUGCCGGUAUGAGUAGCGAAACGACAGGUGAGAAUCCUGUCCACCGAAAGCCUAAGGAAUCCCGGGCAACGCUCGUCGUCCCGGGGUAAGUCGGGACCUAAGCCGAGGCGAAAAGCAUAGGCGAUGGACAACUGGCGAAAAUUCCAGUACCGGGCGACUUCGUUUGAGGAUGGAGUGACGCAGGAAGGAAGCUGAGCGCGCGAAUGGUUGGGCGCGUCGAAGGCGGUAGGCUGGUAUGGAGGCAAAUCCCCAUACCGUAAAGGCCGAGAACCGAUAGAUAGGAAGGGCUACGGCCCGACUGAAUUCAGCCGCACUAAACUGCCAAGAAAAGCUUCUAACGAGAAGUCGUCCGCCCGUACCAAAACCGACACAGGUAGGCGGGGAGAGAAUCCUAAGGUGCGCGGGAAAACCCUCGUUAAGGAACUCGGCAAAAUGCAUCCGUAACUUCGGGAAAAGGAUGGCCGUCUAAGGUGAAGACAUUCACUGUUGGAGCUUUGGGCGGCGGCAGAAAAGAGGCCCAAGCGACUGUUUACCACAAACACAGGUGCCUGCGAAAGCGCAAGCUGAAGUAUAGGUGCUGACGCCUGCCCGGUGCAGGAAGGUUAAGGAGAGUUGUUAGCCCUAGAGAUGAAGCAGCGAACUGAAGCCCCUGUAAACGGCGGCCGUAACUAUAACGGUCCUAAGGUAGCGAAAUUCCUUGUCGGGUAAGUUCCGACCCGCACGAAAGGCGUAACGAUUUGGGCACUGUCUCAACGAGGGACCCGGUGAAAUUGAAAUACCUGUGAAGAUGCAGGUUACCCGCGACUGGACAGAAAGACCCCAUGGAGCUUUACUGCAGCUUGGCAUUGGUCUUUGGCAUAUAACGUACAGGAUAGCCGGGAGACUGGGAAACCUUAUCGCUAGAUGAGGUGGAGUCACCGUUGGGAUACCGGCCUUUAUAUGCUAAGGAUCUAACCGGAACAUUAACAGUGUUCGGGACAGUACCAGGCGGGCAGUUUGACUGGGGCGGUCGCCUCCGAAAGAGCAACGGAGGCGUCCAAAGGUUCCCUCAGCGCGGACAGAAAUCGCGCGAAGAGCAUAAAGGCAGAAGGGAGCUUGACUGCGAGACUGACGGGUCGAGCAGGUACGAAAGUAGGGCUUAGUGAUCCGGUGGAAAGAGAGUGGAAUUGCCAUCGCUCAACGGAUAAAAGCUACCCUGGGGAUAACAGGC